UAAAAUAAUUAAGGGCACACAAAGGAUGCCUAGGUAGUAAGAGCCGAUGAAGGACGUGGUAAGCUGCGAUAAGCCUAGAUAAGUUGCAAUCGAACGUAAGAGUCUAGGAUUUCCGAAUGGAGCAAUCUAUUAAGAUGGAGUCUUAAUACGAAAGAGGGAACCACGUGAACUGAAACAUCUAAGUAACGUGAGGAAAAGAAAGUAAAAACGAUACCCAAAGUAGCGGCGAGCGAACUGGGUCAAGCCUAAACCUUAAAUAUGUCAAGGAUACAGCCGUUGUAUUUAAGGGGUUGAGGGACAAAGUAGUGAAGAACUGUAAGAUAUUCAAUAUAGUGUAUUGAUGAAUUAGAAUUGUAUGGAAAGAUAAACCGCAGAAGGUGAGAGUCCUGUAUAAGUAAAUCCUUACACAUAUAACUUUGCUCCCAAGUAACAUGGAACACGAGGAAUUCUGUGUGAAUCAGUGAGGACCAUAUCUCAUAAGGCUAAAUACUCUUACUAACCGAUAGCGCAUAGUACCGUGAGGGAAAGGUGAAAAGAACCCCUGGAGGGGAGUGAAAUAGAACCUGAAAUUGUGUGCUUACAAGCGGUCAGAGCCCAUUAGGGUGAUGGCGUGCCUUUUGGAGAAUGAUCCUGCGAGUUACGUUAAACGGCGAGGUUAAGUAUAACGGAGCCGAAGGGAAACCAAGUCUUAAUAGGGCGAUAUAGUCGUUUGGCGUAGACGCGAAACCUGGUGAUCUAAACCUGUCCAGGAUGAAGCUGUGGUAAGACACAGUGGAGGUCCUAACCCACCGCCGUUGAAAAGUUGGGGGAUGAGGUAGGUUUAGGGGUGAAAAGCCAAUCGAACCAGGAGAUAGCUCGUUCUCUCCGAAAUGCAUCUAGGUGCAGCCUUGAGUGUUCAAUUAUGGGGGUAGAGCACUGAAUGAUCUAGGGGGCAUAUUGCUUACUGAAAUCAAUCAAACUCCAAAUACCAUAAUUUAUAGCUCAGGAGUGAGACCAUGGGAGUUAACUUCCAUUGUCAAAAGGGAAACAACCCAGACCACCAGCUAAGGUCCCUAAUUAUAACUAAGUGGGAAAGGAGGUGGAGAUUCACAAACAACUAGGAGGUUGGCUUAGAAGCAGCCAUACCUUUAAAGAGUGCGUAAUAGCUCACUAGUCGAGAGUCUCUGCGCCGACAAUGUAACGGGGCUAAGUUAUAAACCGAAGCUGUGGAAUCCUUAUGGAUUGGUAGGAGAGCGUUCUGUAGGCUGUUGAAGAAGAAGGGUAACCAACUUUGGAGGUAUCAGAAGUGAGAAUGCAGGAAUAAGUAGCGAGAAAGGGGGCGAGAAUCCCCCUCGCCGGAAGACCAAGGUUUUCAGGGUAAAGCUUGUCUUCCCUGAGUAAGCCGGGACCUAAGCCCAGGCUAUAAUGCGUAGGCGAAUGGAAAACAGAUUAAUAUUUCUGUGCCAGUCAUUUAUUGUGAUGGAGGGACGCAGAAGGGUAUGUGCGCGGACGAUUGGUUGUGUCCGUAGAAGUAUGUAGGAUGACUUAGUAGGUAAAUCCAUUAAGUUAUAUCUGAGGUAUGAUAUACAGUCGUAAGAUGAAUGUACAAAUCCCACGCUGCCAAGAAAAACUUCUAACGUUAAUAUAUGACUGCCCGUACUGUAAACCGACACAGGUGGUCAGGAUGAGAAAUCUAAGGCGGACAGGCUAACUCUCGUUAAGGAACUCUGCAAAAUAACCUCGUAACUUCGGGAGAAGAGGAGCCCUUGUGUGUGAGUAUACACGCGAUACAAAGCGCACGAGGGUCGCAGUGAAGAGGCUCAAGCAACUGUUUAACAAAAACACAGGUCUAUGCUAAGCUGUAAGGCGAUGUAUAUGGGCUGACACCUGCCCAGUGCUGGAAGGUUAAGAGGAGGAGUGAGAGCUCCGAAUUGAAGCCCCAGUGAACGGCGGCCGUAACUAUAACGGUCCUAAGGUAGCGAAAUUCCUUGUCGGGUAAGUUCCGACCUGCACGAAUGGUGUAAUGAUUUGAGCGCUGUCUUGACGGGAGGCCUGGUGAAAUUGUAUUACCGGUGAAGAUACCGGUUACCUACAGUAGGACGGAAAGACCCCAUGGAGCUUUACUGUAGCUUGGUAUUGGGUUUUGGCAUUGCAUGUAUAGGAUAGUUGGGAGACUAUGAUGGUAUGGCGCUAGCUGUAUCGGAGUCAUCGGUGGAAUACCAACCAUUCAAUGCUGAAAUUCUAAUCUGUGGUUUGAAGCCACGGAGACAGUGCUAGGUGGGCAGUUUGACUGGGGCGGUCGCCUCCGAAAGAGUAACGGAGGCGUUCAAAGGUUCUCUCAGGUUGGAUGGAAAUCAACCAUAGAGUGCAAUGGCAUAAGAGAGCUUGACUGCAAGACUGACGGGUCGAGCAGAUGCGAAAGCAGGACAUAGUGAUCCGGCGAUUCCGAAUGGAAGGGUCGUCGCUCAACGGAUAAAAGCUACCCUGGGGAUAACAGGCUGA
rnacentral:rRNA from 1 species